CCCUAUAUCGAAACACCCAAAACGAUUAACUCGAUGUGAAAUCACAUAUAAACGAACCCUAAAUCAAACCACCAUGACGAUAAACAACCCUAAAUCGAAACCCCCUUAUCGAUUUAGACCCCUAACAAAGAAACUCCCAAAUAGAUUUCAGAUCCCAGACUCGAAACCCUAAAUCCCUAAAAACAACUCUAUUGAACCGUGACUCUACUCGGAAACGGACCUGUGCUCGAUGAGAAGACACUCUGCCGUCGAUUUGAUGGAGAAAAGAGCUCUGGAU
rnacentral:lncRNA from 1 species